GGCUGAUUAGCUCAGUCGGCUGAGUGUGGUGUUGGUAACACCAAGGUCCUGGGUUCGAUCCCCGUUUGGCCC
rnacentral:tRNA from 1 species